AAGCGGUGGAGCAUGUGUUAAUUCGAAGCAACGCGAAGAACCUUACCAGGUCUUGACAUCCCUGACAACCCGAGAGAUCGGGCGUUCCCCUUCGGGGGACAGGGUGACAGGUGGUGCAUGGUUGUCGUCAGCUCGUGUCGUGAGAUGUUGGGUUAAGUCCCGCAACGAGCGCAACCCUCGACCUUAGUUGCCAGCAUUCAGUUGGGCACUCUAAGGUGACUGCCGGCUAAAGUCGGAGGAAGGUGGGGAUGACGUCAAAUCAUCAUGCCCCUUAUGACCUGGGCUACACACGUGCUACAAUGGGCGGUACAAAGGGUCGCGAACCCGCGAGGGGGAGCCAAUCCCAAAAAGCCGCUCUCAGUUCGGAUUGCAGGCUGCAACUCGCCUGCAUGAAGUUGGAGUUGCUAGUAAACGCAGGUCAGCCAUACUGCGUUGAAUACGUUCCCGGGGCUU
rnacentral:rRNA from 1 species